rnacentral:rRNA from 1 species
UCUUCAGGUACCGUCAGGCCCAGUUAAAACUAGGCGUUUCUUCCCUGACAAAAGUAGUUUACAACCCAUAGGGCAGUCAUCCUACACGCGGGAUGGCUGGAUCAGGCUUGCGCCCAUUGUCCAAUAUUCCUUA